rnacentral:misc_RNA from 1 species
GAUGAAGAACGCAGCGAACUGCGAUAAGUAAUGUGAAUUGCAGAAUUCAGUGAAUCAUCGAAUCUUUGAACGCACAUUGCGCCCGCCAGUAUUCUGGCGGGCAUGCCUGUUCGAGCGUCAUUACAACCCUCAGGCCCCCGGGCCUGGCGUUGGGGAUCGGCGGAGCCCCCCGUGGGCACACGCCGUCCCCCAAAUACAGUGGCGGUCCCGCCGCAGCUUCCAUCGCGUAGUAGCUAACACCUCGCGACUGGAGAGCGGCGCGGCCACGCCGUAAAACACCCAACUCUUCUGAAGUUGACCUCGAAUCAGGUAGGAAUACCCGCUGAACUUAAGCAUAUCAAUAAGCGGAGGA